UACGGGGGGGGCAAGCGUUGUUCGGAAUUACUGGGCGUAAAGGGCGCGUAGGCGGCCUUCUAAGUCGGACGUGAAAUCCCUCGGCUUAACCGAGGAACUGCGUCCGAUACUGAAAGGCUUGAAUCCGGGAGAGGGAUGUGGAAUUCCAGGUGUAGCGGUGAAAUGCGUAGAUAUCUGGAGGAACACCGGUGGCGAAGGCGGCAUCCUGGACCGGUAUUGACGCUGAGACGCGAAAGCGUGGGGAGCGAACAGG
rnacentral:rRNA from 1 species